CGGAAGCCUUUGAGGGAACUUCCGGCCAAGCGUGGGAACGCUGCGAACUUCCUGGAGGCAAAAUUUGAGGGGGCUGAGCAGAGAGUGAUUAGUGCGGAGCGGGCCUGGGAGACCUUGGGCGCCUCCUCUGAAAGCUGCUUUGCACGUGCCUGGGUAAUGGGUGAUGCGUUGGGCCGGAAGUAAAGACAGAGUUUCAGAGGUCUCAAACUCCUGAUCUCAGGUGAUCUGCCUGCCUCUGCCUCCGAAAGUGCUGGGAUUACAGGCAUGAGCCACUGUGCCUGGCCUAAAAUGACAUUUAAUACAAGCAUAAGAUAAUUAUUGAGUUGAAGAACUUUGAUAAAAUAAUCAGAUAAGGAAAUGAACUUUGAGAAGAUAAAUGAUUUGCCAAAAGUCACAUGAGACAGAAAUGUAACCUGAAAUCAAAUUUGCAAUUUUCAGUUCCUGAUGUUUUUACACUAUGCUCCCAAAGUGAAUCUGUGGACAUACAUUUCCAGUAAUCCUGCGUUUGUUACAAAUUGAAGGCUUGUGAUGAUCCUUGUCAAGCAAGUUGACUGGCACCAUUUUUCCAAUAGCAUGUGCUUACUUUGUGUCUCUGUGUCACAUUUAUUAGUACUCACAAUAUUUCAAAAUUUUCAUCAUUAUUAUAUAUUUAAAGGUGAUCUGUGAUCAGUGAUCUUUGAUGUUACUCUUGUAAUUGUUUUAGGAGGCCAUGAACCAUGCCUGUAUAAGACUUAAUCAAUUCUUAAUGAUGAUUAUGGUGUGUAUACUGACUGUUCCACUGACCUGCCAUCCCCACAUCUUUCUCCCUCUCCUCAGACCUCCCUAUUUCCCAAGAGACAACAGUAUUGAAAUUAGGCCAAUUAAUAACCUGCCAGUGGCCUCUAAGUGUUUAAGUGAAAGGAAGAUUCACACAUCUCUCUCAUUAAAAAAGCCAGAAAUGGUUAGUUAAACUUAGUGAGAAAGGCAUGUCAAAAGCUGAGACUAGCCAAAAACUACGCCUCUUUUGAAAGUUAGCCAAGUUGUGAAUGCAAAGGAAAUGUUCUCAAAAUUAAAAGUGCUACUCCAGUGAACACGUGAAUAAGAAAACAAAACAGCCUGUUGCUGAAACGUAAAAAGUCUGAGUGGUCUGGACAGAAGAUCAAACAUUCCCUUAAACCAAAGCCUAAUCCAGAGCAAAGUCCUAACUCUCUUCAAUUCUGUGAAGACUGAGAGAGGUAAGGAAGCUGUGUAAGAAAAGUUUGAAGCUCGCAGAGGAUGGUUCAUGAGGUUUAGGGAAAGAAGUCAUCUCCAUAACACAAAAGCUCAAGGUGAAGCAGGAAAUGGCUGAUGUAGAAGCUGAAGUAAUUUAUUCAGAAGAUCUAGCUAAGAUAAUUGAUGGAGGUGGCUACACUAAACAACAGGUUUUCAAUAUAGACAGCCUUAUAUUGGAAGAAGAUGCUAUCUAGGACUUUCAAAGCUAGAGAGAGGUCAAUGCCUGAUUUCAAAGAUUCAAGGACAGGCUCACUCUGUUGUGAAGGACUAAUAUAGCUGGUAACUUUCAAUGGAAAUGAAUGCUUAUUUACCAUUCUGAAAAUCCUGGGGCCCUUAAGAAUUAUGCGAAAUCUACUCUGCCUGGGAACUAUAAGUGGAACUGAGGAAGGAGACCCAGGCGUCUGGGAUCAACUUCCCUUUUGACUGCCACACUGCAUUGCAAUAGAAGAAAAGGCUGAUCGACUGGCGCCUCCUGAUUCACCUUCCUGUAGGUGGCAGGCUUGGUCUUGGGGAAACGCUGGAAGACACUGUUUUUACUUAAAACAAGAUCAAACCCGAAACCUUUUCACAUGUGAGCCCUAAAACAAUAAACCGAAACCCUUUCAUAUGUGAUUCCUGAAGCUGUAAACCGAAACCCUUUCAUAUAUGAUUCCUGAAGCUGUAAACCGAAACCCUUUCAUAUGUGAUUCCUGAAGCUGUAAACCGAAUCCCUUUUCAUAUGUGAUUUCUAAGGCUGUAAACCUAAGAUUCUUCCACAUGUAAUAUAUAAAGUAUAAGCCUAUAUAAAGGCAGAACCUUCCUUUGUUAGAUGAGCUGAAUUUGGACAAAUUAUCCCUCAGCUCCCGGCUGUAAUAAAGACCUCUUCCUUCUCCAUUCGGUGUUCAGGAGCUCUGUUUCUCGUGGCCGCUCCUGCUACAGAACAACAAAGCCUAGAUGACAGCACAUCUGUUUAAAGCAUGGCUUACUGGAUAUUUUAAGCCCACUGUCAAGCCCUACUGCUCCAAUAAAAAAAGAUUCCUUUUCAAGUUUUACUGCUCUUUGACAAUGCUCCUGACAAUGCUCAUUGACAAUCAUCCAAGAGCUUUGAUGAAGAGGUACGAGGAAAUUAGUAUUGUUUUCAUGCCUGCUAACACAACAUCCAUUCUGCAGCCCAUGGAUCAAGAAAUAAUUUCAAUUUACAAUAUUAUUUAAGAAAUCCAUUUCAUAAGACUACUGCUGCCAUGGAUAGUGAUUCCUUUGAUGGAUCUAGGCAAAGCAAAUAAAAAACCUUCUGGAAAUAAUUCACCAUUGUUUUCAUUAAGUACAUUUGUGAUUCAUCGAAGUAGGUCAAAAUAUCAACAGGAAUUUAGGAAAAGUUGAUUCCAACUCUCCUGGAUGAUUUUGAGGAGUUCAAGACUUCACUGGAGGAACUGACUGCAGAUGUGGCGGAAAUAGUAAUAGAACUAGAAGUGGAGCCUGGCGACUUCUUUAAAGAAUCGGGACUUGCUUCCUAUGGAUGAGCAAAGAAGACGAUUUCUUGAGAUGAAAUCUAUUUCUGGUGGAGAUGCUGCGAACAUUGUUGAAAUGACAAUAAAGGAUUUAGAUUACAUAAACUUAGUUGAUAAAGCAGCAGCAGGGUUUGAGAGGAUUGACUCUUAUUUUGAAAGUAGUUCUAUUUUGGAUAAAAUGCUACCAAACAGCAUUACAUGCUACAGAGAACUCUUUUAUGAAAAGUCAAUCGGUGUGGCAAAAUUCAUUAUUGUCUUAUGUGAAUAAAUUGCCACAGCCACCCCAACCUUCAGCAACUACCACCCUGAUGAGUCAGCAGCCAUCAAUGUCAAAGCGAAACCCUCCCUCCACCAGCAAAAAGAUUAUGCCUCUCUAAAGGCUCAGAUGAUUGUUAGCAGUUUCUACCAAUAAGGUAUUUUAAAAUUAAGGUAUGCACAUUUUUAAGACAUCUGCUGUUGCUAUGCUAUUGCUAAGUAUUGUUUAUACUAUGACUACAGUAUAGUAUAAGCGUAUCUUUUAUAUGCAUUGGGAAUCCAAAAUAUUUGUGCAAUUUGCUUUAUUGUGAUUGCCUUAUUGCAAUUAUCUGAACCUGCAGUAUUGCUGAAACAAGCCUGAAAACAUGACUUGGCUGAACUACACAUUUGUCUCUGUUGGGAAUUCUAUAAAAAUUAAAAUGUUCUGGAAAUGAA